GAUGAACGCUGGCGGCGUGCUUAACACAUGCAAGUCGAACGGAAAGGCCCAAGCUUGCUUGGUUACUCGAGUGGCGAACGGGUGAGUAACAAGAGGGUGAUCUGCCCUGCACUUCGGGAUAAGCCUGGGGAACUGGGUCUAAUACUGGAUAGGACCACUUCUUGGAUGUUGUGGUGGAAAGUUUUUUCGGUGUGGGAUGCGCUCGCGGCCUAUCAGCUUGUUGGUGGGGUAAUGGCCUACCCAGGCGUCGACGGGUAGCCGGCCUGAGAGGGUGUACGGCCACACUAGAACUGAGAUACGGCACAGACUACUACGGGAGGCAGGAGUGGGGAAUAUUGCACAAUGGGCGCAAGCCUGAUGCAGCGACGCAGCGUGGGGGAUGACGGCCUUCGGGUUGUAAACUCCUUUCGCUAGGGACGAAGCGUUUUUGUGACGGUACCUGGAGAAGAAGCACCGGCUAACUACGUG
rnacentral:rRNA from 1 species